GAUCCACACUUUUGUCAAAUGGCUUGUGGCAAGAAGUUGAGAUGUGGACAGCAUUCUUGUGAAUCAUUGUGUCAUAGUGGCCAUUGUCCGCCUUGCCUAGAGACGAUAUUCACUGAUUUGAGCUGUGCAUGUGGAAGAACUUCAAUCCCUCCUCCUUUGCCUUGUGGCACACCUCCCCCUUCAUGUCAACUCCCAUGUUCAGUUCCUCAGCCUUGUGGCCAUUCAGCUUCUCAUAGCUGCCACUUUGGAGACUGCCCACCUUGUUCAGUCCCUAUAGCAAAGGAGUUGCAAAGGAGUGUGUUGGUGGGCAUGUAGUUCUUGGGAACAUACCUUGCGGUUCAAAAGAUAUCAGAUGUAACAAACUCUGUGGUAAAACCAGGCAGUGUGGUCUGCAUGCAUGUGGCAGAACUUGUCAUCCACCACCUUGUGAUACUUCGUCAGUAACUGAAGCAGGUUCAAGAGCUUCUUGUGGGCAGACAUGUGGUGCUCCUAGGAGAGAUUGCAGACAUACUUGCACUGCACUUUGUCAUCCUUCUGCUUCUUGUCCUGAUGUGAGAUGUGAGUUCCCUGUUACAAUUACUUGCUCCUGUGGCAGGGUAACAACAUCUGUUUCUUUUGAUGCUGGGGGGGGCAAGUAAAUGUGAAGCAUCCAUUGUCCAAAAGUUGCCUGUACCACUUCAACCAGCGGAAUCAACUGGUAAGAAAAUUCCACUUGGCCAGAGGAAGCUUGUGUGUGAUGAUGAAUGUGCUAAGUUGGAACGCAGAAGGGUUCUUGCUGAUGCUUUUGACAUCACACCCCCAAACUUGGAAGCUCUUCAUUUUGGGGAGAAUUCUGCUGUGACCGAGCUGCUUUCAGACCUCUACAGACGUGAUCCAAGGUGGGUGCUUGCGGUGGAGGAGAGAUGCAAGUACUUGGUACUUGGAAAGAACAGAGGAUCGAUAAAUGGUCUCAAGCUUCAUGUUUUCUGCCCUAUGC
rnacentral:misc_RNA from 1 species